UCUAACAUUCCCAUGAGGACACUGGGGACUUUUUAGCUGAAGUCUGAGUGAGCAAAAGGAAUAAAUGUGGUCUUGGGAAUAUGCAAUUGCAAGCAGAUAUUUGAAGCAGAUUUUGGUAGCUUACCCAGGAAGAGUGCAGUAAUUUUAACAGCUAACAAUACUGAGAAAAUCUGAGUACCAUGCUGCUCAUCUUACCUCAAUGCAUAAUACAAAUCUUGUAGUUGUUCUCUUUGAGUGUGACUUCCUGACUGAUGAAGAGAGUACGUGCUUCUGCCAGUGCUUCCCAGGGAAUUCAGUCACCCUGCUCAUAUCAGUAGCUGUUCCUCAAAUGCUGUGGCAAAAUAGCAUUUACUGCUGAUCAAGUGAGAAGACAAGAAAGCUUGCUUUCUUUAAUGAGGUGAAUUUGCGUGCUACUAUUAUGUGGAUGCCUUUCCAGCCAGAUUAGCCUAUGUGGGGAACUGCACCACCGACUGCCCUCCGGUUUUACUAUAUUGGAUCAGAUUUUAAAUGAUGCUGUUGUGAUGAGUCAGUCCUUCAUCCUUUCAGACUGUCACUUUGCUUUUCCUCAGGUGAUUAUGUUGAAGUCUUCCCUGGGUUUGCUUGAUGAAGUGGGAUGGGGAUUAAUUUAUAUUCCUUAAGUAGUUGCAUGACUUACUUUUGGAAAAUCCUUGAAGGAUUUAACACACUAAGAAUUUAAAGGAGAGCAAUCACAGAGAAGCAUAAGAGGUUAAUUCUGAUUUGCCAGGCAGCAUCUGGCUUUUAUGAAGCAAAUGAGUGAAAGCAACAAUCGAGCACCAUGGAAACAUGGUUUCCGAGGGAUUACAACUCUUUGUAGUGCAAAGAUGUAUGUAAGAUCUAAUAUUUUGCCUUGGAAUUCUACAGCUCUUUCUUCUGGGAGUGCCUCUAUCCACUGAAAUCCAGGGAGAAGUGAGGAACUGGAGUGGUUUGUUCUUGUUUGUGAAUCCUGCCUGAGGUUUACUCCUAUUUAUCUUCGAAGCUUUGCUCAGUGAGCAACCUCUGGAUGCAUGUUCUGAUGUGAUAUGACCACUGUACAACACAGCCAGAGCAGCUCAUUCGAACUCCCGAAGUUGUUUCUCUACCUCCUCUGCAUAAGGAACAUUGAAUCUUCACCUAGCAUAUCACAAAGGGCGCUGAGCAGUGUUGCUCAGGAGUGUGGGAAAGAUGUUUCCAUGGCUAUGAAUUUCUCCUGUAAAGCAGUUUUCCACGGGGCAGCAGGGCGAGUAGCCAACAAUAUUAGAAUGGAUGACAGCACGGUUACAGUGCUCCCUAGGUAAAGAAAAACAAAGUGGAUUCCAGUCCCUGUACGUAACAUUGAUUGAAAUAAAAAUGGAGCAACUCUUAAAGGGAAGGUGGGGAAGACAGAAAGAGAGAGACUCCUUUCCCCUAUGGGCUAGUGACUUGUUAAUUUAGGAAGAGGAGUGAUUAAACAGAGGUCCAAACUUUCCACCCCAUGUUCUUUUUGCUUGGCUGAAUAAAAGGACCCUUGAUGUUUUGUCUUGCUGAGACAAAGUUUGUUUAGUCCAUUCCCUACCAAAGAGCAAAGAACAUAUCCUGCAUAUAGAGUUGGGGCAGUUGGCGUAGGAGGAAGAGAGGCCCAUGGCUAGGCUCAGGGGUCAUCUGCUCCAGAGGUUACUUCUACACUUAACAUGCAUUGCUGAAUUCUAUAGAAACAAACAGUUCUGUGUAUGGCUGGACCUUAAAGCCACCCACCACCCAGAAUUGUAUAUUGGCUUGUCAGCUUUCUGAUCAUCACUGUGAAGGAAUGGAUGUAGACAGCUUAAGGUGGGGGUUCCACUAAUAAGCUUAAACUUUGAGUGCUAGUGCUGCGAUAGACAGGCUUAAAUACUUUAUUUGUGAGUUACUCCUUCUCUUAAGGAGAGGUGCUGGGUCGUAAGUUGAGCACUGAAUGCUUGAAGGGAAUUUGAAUGCAAUUUUUGUGGCCAGGAUGGCCUUUAGAAGCUCUCUUUCCCCCAUCAAAUUACAUACCCAUGCCAGUUAAUUUGAAAAUAAGUUUAAUAUUCCAGACCACAAGUAACACUGAAACAUACCUACACAUUACAAACAAUUGUAAUGUACCCGCUGGUUCUGCAUUUGAUACUUGCUUUCUCUUUCACAGCUCAGUGUGAUAAUCUUGAUUCCUUGAGGGGAAAAAUAAAACUCUUUGAAGCUGUUUGAAAUGUUCUUAAUAGCUGAGACACUUAUGGUUCCUACUUACAGACUUUAUACUGGUUAAAUGAGUGGAUGUGUAUCUGCUACCUAUGGUAAGUAUGAACAGCAGUAUAGCUGCAGUUGCUGAUGCUGCAUAUGGAUUGUUCAGACUGAGGGUUCAGCCUAAAUGGAUCCAAGCUUUGGCAUUUUGGACAUAGUCAGGUAUCAACAAGGCACCCGCAGUAAUUCUUUAAUCACCUCUGCAUACUUUCUGGCUUGUUGUAAUCAAUGCAGUAGAGCUGCCCCGUCCUCCUCUGUCGUAGUGAUCGAGCAGGCUGUGAGCAAUGAAGCUGCUUUCUGAAUGCAGUGUCUCACAUUUUCGGCAGACAAGGAUUUCACAUUUUGGACACAUUUUUCCGGAAUGUGGUUGCCUUAAAGAACAGAUUUCCUCCCGUGCUGGCUUCAGCUUUUUGGAACCUUUCCUGUGUAAGCAUCUCUUCUUGUCUUCAAAGCUCUGACUCCUUCCCUGAGGGCUGGAACAGUCAGAGGAAAGAAAGGUGACAAGUUUAGCCUACGUAUGUCCUAUAUGAAUGACAUCAGCAGGAGCAGUUAGUGUUGAUUUAUGAAUCCUCACUGAGGUUCUGUGACACUCUAUGAGCAGGUGCAGUGUAUGAUCUCUUGCAGAAAACAGGAGUGGAUAGAAAAUGAAGAAAUCUAGCUCUGGUGUUAUGACGG
ensembl:lncRNA